rnacentral:rRNA from 1 species
AGCGAACGCUGGCGGCAGGCCUAACACAUGCGAGUCGAACGAACUCUUCGGAGUUAGUGGCGGACGGGUGAGUAACACGUGGGAACGUGCCUUUAGGUUCGGAAUAACUCAGGGAAACUUGUGCUAAUACCGAAUGUGCCCUUCGGGGGAAAGAUUUAUCGCCUUUAGAGCGGCCCGCGUCUGAUUAGCUAGUUGGUGAGGUAAAGGCUCACCAAGGCGACGAUCAGUAGCUGGUCUGAGAGGAUGAUCAGCCACAUUGGGACUGAGACACGGCCCAAACUCCUACGGGAGGCAGCAGUGGGGAAUCUUGCGCAAUGGGCGAAAGCCUGACGCAGCCAUGCCGCGUGAAUGAUGAAGGUCUUAGGAUUGUAAAAUUCUUUCACCGGGGACGAUAAUGACGGUACCCGGAGAAGAAGCCCCGGCUAACUUCGUG